AGCUUUUCGAAUCCGUGCUGAGAUUUCAUCAGAUACCAACCCAUUAGGGGUGAUCAAACUUCCAAGAUAAGUGAAGUU
rfam:Schistosoma curassoni strain Dakar, Senegal genome assembly, scaffold: SCTD_scaffold0004594